UGAGUGGUGUUUGGUUUGUUACGGGUGGUUGGCUCUAUGCUUGCGCAACAACUUCCACCUGGCAUUCCUCUUCAGUUUGUUUCAAUGCUUUAAUUGCAUUGAAUCGUGUUGGGUUUCUUGUGUUGCAUACCUUUCUACGGUAUUGUUUGACGACUCGAUGAUAGCUUUCGUCUUGUGUCGCACUAGCGAUGCUAGAUGAACCUUGAAGCAGCCUCUGUGAUCCACUCUUUCGCUGCAUACGCAUUGAUUUUGUGGCUCACUGAGUUUUGCUUGGUCUCAUUGAUAUGGAACCUUGUGUGGGCAUUUGUUCUUUCACUAGAGCAUUGUUUGCCCAAGCUAAGCCAUUUAAAAUACGAUUACCUAUCACGUCUUGACGUGGUAGGCUAUAUCGAAUAUGAAUGCUACCUGG
rnacentral:misc_RNA from 1 species